rnacentral:lncRNA from 1 species
CGCUACCAGUUCCGUCCUCAUCAACACCACUAAAUCAAAACCUAACAAACUACAGUUAUACUCAUGGCAAUGGAAUCACCCUAUAGGCGAAGAAUCCGUGGAAUCGCCCUCAGUCACAAAGAACCCUAGCCUAAUCAACAAUCAAAUAAACACUCCUCACUGCAAAUUAACACUUAAUGCCAUGUGGUUUUUGAUCCUUCACCUAAAUGCUAGGUAACAGUGUGCUCAGAACAAGAAAGCGAAAAUAAACGGUAAACG